rnacentral:rRNA from 1 species
GACGAACCGAGCGAACGUUGUUCGGAAUCACUGGGCUUAAAGGGCGCGUAGGCGGGUGCUCAAGUCCGUGGUGAAAUCCUCCGGCUCAACCGGAGAACUGCCUCGGAUACUGGGUGCCUCGAGGGUGGUAGGGGUAUGCGGAACUAUCGGUGGAGCGGUGAAAUGCGUUGAUAUCGAUAGGAACUCCGGUGGCGAAAGCGGCCUGCUGGAUCUCUACUGACGCUGAGGCGCGAAAGCCAGGGGAGCAAACGGG